rnacentral:rRNA from 1 species
GACGAACGCUGGCGACGUGCCUAAUACAUGCAAGUGGGACGCAAGGGAACACACUGUGCUUGCACACCGUGUUUUCUUGAGUCGCGAACGGGUGAGUAACGCGUAGGUAACCUGCCUAUUAGCGGGGGAUAACUAUUGGAAACGAUAGCUAAUACCGCAUAAUAUUAAUUAUUGCAUGAUAAUUGAUUGAAAGAUGCAAGCGCAUCACUAGUAGAUGGACCUGCGUUGUAUUAGCUAGUUGGUAAGGUAAGAGCUUACCAAGGCGACGAUACAUAGCCGACCUGAGAGGGUGAUCGGCCACACUGGGACUGAGACACGGCCCAGACUCCUACGGGAGGCAGCAGUAGGGAAUCUUCGGCAAUGGACGAAAGUCUGACCGAGCAACGCCGCGUGAGUGAAGAAGGUUUUCGGAUCGUAAAGCUCUGUUGUAAGUCAAGAACGUGUGUGAGAGUGGAAAGUUCACACAGGAC